GCCUAGGUGGCGAAAUUGGUAUACGCUGAGGACUUAAAAUCCUUUACUUAAAUAGUGUGUGGGUUCAAGUCCCACCCUAGGUA
rnacentral:tRNA from 1 species